rnacentral:rRNA from 1 species
AGUGAACGCUGGCGGUAGGCCUAACACAUGCAAGUCGAACGGCAGCACAGAGGAGCUUGCUCCUUGGGUGGCGGGUGGCGGACGGGUGAGGAAUACAUCGGAAUCUACUCUGUCGUGGGGGAUAACGUAGGGAAACUUACGCUAAUACCGCAUACGACCUACGGGUGAAAGCAGGGGAUCUUCGGACCUUGCGCGAUUGAAUGAGCCGAUGUCGGAUGAGCUAGUUGGCGGGGUAAAGGCCCACCAAGGCGACGAUCCGUAGCUGGUCUGAGAUGAUGAUCAGACAAACUGAAACUGCGACACGGUCCAGACUCCUACGGGAGGCAGCAGUGGGGAAUAUUGGACAAUGGGCGCAAGCCUGAUCCAGCCAUACCGCGUGGGUGAAGAAGGCCUUCGGGUUGUACAGCCCUUUUGUUGGGAAAGAAAUCCAUCUGGUUAAUACCCGGGUGGGAUGACGGUACCCAAAGAGUAAGCACCGGCUAACUUCGUGCCAGCAGCCGCCGUAA